UGGUGACAUCGUUGACAGUGCCACCAUGUUUUGCCACGCCCACCAAAGAGACCAGUCUCUUUCCCAGUGCUAACCCAGGGACAUGACAAGGCGGUGUCCCCAUGGAGCAGAGAACUGGGGAACCCAGAGUCUGAGAGUAGAAAAAGACUGCACGGCCAUCAUAGGCAAGAGCAGGCAGCACUCACAGUUACUGAGAUUAAACUCAUUGUGAGGCUCUGGAAGGCAAAACAAGGACCAAUUGGCAGAAUCUUCCAGGAGGCAG